rnacentral:rRNA from 1 species
CCUAUGGGGGGCAGCAGUGGGGAAUAUUGGACAAUGGGGGGAACCCUGAUCCAGCCAUGCCGCGUGUGUGAAGAAGGCCCUCGGGUUGUAAAGCACUUUCAGUGAGGAAGAACGCCUGGUGGUUAAUACCCAUCAGGAAAGACAUCACUCACAGAAGAAGCACCGGCUAACUCCGUGCCAGCAGCCGCGGUAAUACGGAGGGUGCGAGCGUUAAUCGGAAUUACUGGGCGUAAAGCGCGCGUAGGUGGCUUGAUAAGCCGGUUGUGAAAGCCCCGGGCUCAACCUGGGAACGGCAUCCGGAACUGUCAAGCUAGAGUGCAGGAGAGGAAGGUAGAAUUCCCGGUGUAGCGGUGAAAUGCGUAGAGAUCGGGAGGAAUACCAGUGGCGAAGGCGGCCUUCUGGACUGACACUGACACUGAGGUGCGAAAGCGUGGGUAGCAAACAGGAUUAGAUACCCUAGUAGUC